GAUGAACGCUGGCGGCGUGCCUAAUACAUGCAAGUCGAGCGAACAGAUGAGGAGCUUGCUCCUCUGACGUUAGCGGCGGACGGGUGAGUAACACGUGGAUAACCUACCUAUAAGACUGGGAUAACUUCGGGAAACCGGAGCUAAUACCGGAUAAUAUAUUGAACCGCAUGGUUCAAUAGUGAAAGACGGUUUUGCUGUCACUUAUAGAUGGAUCCGCGCCGCAUUAGCUAGUUGGUAAGGUAACGGCUUACCAAGGCAACGAUGCGUAGCCGACCUGAGAGGGUGAUCGGCCACACUGGAACUGAGACACGGUCCAGACUCCUACGGGAGGCAGCAGUAGGGAAUCUUCCGCAAUGGGCGAAAGCUUGACGGAGCAACGCCGCGUGAGUGAUGAAGGUCUUCGGAUCGUAAAACUCUGUUAUUAGGGAAGAACAAAUGUGUAAGUAACUAUGCACGUCUUGACGGUACCUAAACAGAAAGCCACGGCUAACUACGUG
rnacentral:rRNA from 1 species